UGAGACAGUGGUCUAGCUGGCAGGGUUUCCAGUUUCCAAAGCUGAUGUGAUCUCACAGCUUGAAUGAGGGGAAGAGCUGUAGGUCCCAGACCUCCAGGGCUCUGAGAUAGAAGUGCUUCCAAGAGCUGCCUUCCCAGGUGGUGAUCUAUGUCUGGAUUCUCUCUGUCUCCCUUCAGGUGAUGGGAUGGUGAGUCAGAAUGAGGAGGAGAAAUCUCAUCAGGAAGAUGCUGAGCAAGGAGAACCACAUGGAACUUUAUCAGGAAGAUCCAAAGGGAAUGUUUCCGGGAGUUGUACACUCUCAGAAAAUACAAAAGCCUGUGAGACUCAGCAGAGGCCGGAGGGAAAGUUUAGUAUCCUCUCAGACCUUGUAACAAGUGACAGAAUCAACUUGGAAGAGACACGCUACAUAUGCCAUGAGUGUGGGAAAAGCUUUAGUCAGAGCUCUGCCCUUUUCAGACAUCAGAGAAUCCACACAGGAGUGUGUGUCCCUCCUGCCAGGAAUGUUCAUCAGCUCCAGGUGGGGGAGAGAGGUUUGAUCCCAACAAGGGACACUUGUUGCAGGCACAGAGGGUACCUGAGGCAAGCAACAGUGGUACGCGCCUGGAGUGCUUAGCGCCAAUAAACACACCAGGGUGGAGAAGCGAGCAAAGUUUAUUUGAGAUCUCAAAGCGGUACUGGGAGACACAGCACGCCUCAGAUCCAGCACACACAAUACAACACUUACCUGGAGGAGACACCGAGGGAGCUUCUGGUCUGGUGGGAGACAGGAAUCUCUGCAGUGGACCUCACCUACGUGAGCAGCUACUGGGGCUUCCAACGAUGUUUGCUCCUGUGGUAACACCCACAAAGUGUUUAGCCUGCACAUCUUGAAGGGACUAUUCAAGCUAAAUGGCUCAUCAAGGAACAUUUAGAUCAAAAUGGACCGUGGAAGAUGCCCAUCCACACCUGAUGGACUUUCAUGUGAACAUUCUAACUGGAGCAGAGGUUCUCAGGACAAAGGGUUUGUCUCCACUGGUGAUUUACGGUGCUGCAACCUCCUCGCUCAAGGAUGUGAAAAAUCACACCCCUGAGCACAGCAAGUGUCAGUGCUGUACAGUGCCAGUGUAAACAGUGCCCCAGCACUGGGAGCUGUGCCCCUGGUGGAGGUGGGUUUUUUAGUGCUCUGGGGCUACGUCUACACUACAGCAUAAAAUCGAAAUAACUAAAACCGGUUUUAUAAAACCGAUAUUAUAAAAUUGAUUUUAUGCGUCCACACUAGGGCACAUUAAUUCGGUGGUGUGUGUCCAUGGUCCGAGGCUAGCGUCGAUUUCUGGAGCGGUGCACUGUGGGUAGCUACUGUAAAAUGAUGAGGCCAAUAACUUCGAUUUCCGUCCACACUAACCCUAAAUCGAUAUAGUAAUAUCAAUUUUAGCGUUACUCCUCUCGUUGGGGAGGAGUACAGAAAUUGAUUUUAAGAGCCCUUAAAAUUGAUUUAAAGUGUGUUGUAGUGUGGACGGGUACAGCGUUAAAUCGAUUUAACGCUGUUUAAAUCGAUUUAACUGCAUAGUGUGGACCAGGCCUGGGAGAGCUCUAUCCCAGUGCUGCAUCGUGACCACACAAGCCACGUGAAAGCACUGGCAUAGCAGCACUUUAGCAUUAUCAGUGUAGACAAGCCUAAAUAUUUUGGUGGCCUCAGAGUGUGUCCACCAGCUCUUGCUGUCUCGCACUUUAUUUGUUAGGAAAAACAAAUAAAUAUGCACAUACCCAUG